GAAAGGUCCGGGCGUUAUCCGGAUUUAUUGGGUUUAAAGGGAGCGUAGGCCGGAGAUUAAGCGUGUUGUGAAAUGUAGACGCUCAACGUCUGCACUGCAGCGCGAACUGGUUUCCUUGAGUACGCCAAAAGUGGGCGGAAUUCGUGGUGUAGCGGUGAAAUGCUUAGAUAUCACGAAGAACUCCGAUUGCGAAGGCAGCUCACUGGAGCGCAACUGACGCUGAAGCUCGAAAGUGCGGGUAUCAAACAGGAUUNGAUACCCUGGUAGUCCGCACGGUANACGAUGGAUGCCCGCUGUUGGUCUGAAAUAGGUCAGCGGCCANGCGAANGCAUUANGCNUCCCACCUGGGAAGU
rnacentral:rRNA from 1 species